rnacentral:rRNA from 1 species
GGUUCGAUUAUGGCUGUCAAGAGUGAACGCUGGCGGUAGGCCUAACACAUACGUCGAACAGCUGCCCAACACGUCACGACUUGCUCUUAUGGGUGGCGAGUGGCGGACAGGUGAGAAUACCCAUCGGAAUCUACCUUUUCGUACAGGGGAUAACGUAGGAAACUUACGCUAAUACCGCAUACGACAACCCGGGUGUAGCAGGGACGGGCCUUGCGCGGAUAGAUGAGCCGAUGUCGGAUUAGCUAGUUGGCGGGGUAAAAAGGCCCGCAAGGCGACGAUCCGUAACUGGUCUGAGGAUGAUCAGCCACACUGGAACUGAGACACGGAUCAGACUCCUACAGGAGGCAGCAGUGAAGGCUAUUGGACAAUGGGCGCAAGCCUGAUCGAAAUACCGCGUGGGUGAAGAAGGCCUUCGGGUUGUAAAGCCCUUUUGUUGGAGCUUAAUCGGCUAAUACGGUUGUUCUGACGGUACCCAAAAGAAUAUUUCCGCUUCAACGCGUGCCAGCAGCCGCGGUAAUACAGAAGAGGUGCAGCGGUCUCAGGAUGCUGGGCGUAAAGCGUGCGUAGGUGGUUGUUUAAGUCUGUUGUAGAAAGCCCCUGGGCUCAACUGGGAAUUGCAGUGGAUACUGGGCGACUAGAGUGUGGUAGAGGUAGUGGAAUUCCCGGUGUAGCAGUGAAAUGCGUAGAGAGAUCGGGAGGAACAUCCAUGGCGAGGCAGCUACCUGGACCAACACUGACACUGAGAGCACGAAAGCGUGGGGGAGCAAACAGGAUUAGAUACCCUGGUAGUCCACGCCCUAAACGAUGUCAACUGGUUGUUGGGAAUUAGUUUUCUCAGUAACGAAGCUAACGCGUGCAAGUUGACCGCCUGGGGAGUACGGCCGCAAGGUUGAAACUCCAAAGGAAUUGACGGGACCACCACAAGCGGUGGGUGAUGUGGUUUAAUUCGAUGCAACGCGAAAAACCUUACCCACCUUUGACAUGGCGAGAUCCCGAAGAGAUUUGGGAGUGCUCGCAAGAGGGAACCGGAACACAGGUGCUGCAUGGCUGUCGUCAGCUCGUGUCGUGAGAUGUUGGGUUAAGUCCGCAACGAGCGCAACCCUUGUCAUUAGUUGCUACGAAAGGGCACUCUAAUGAGACUGCCGGUGACAAACCGGAGGAAGGUGGGGAUGACGUCAAGUCCUCAUGGCCCUUAUGGGUAGGGCUUCACACGUCAUACAAUGGUCGGGACAGAGGGUCGCCAACCCGAGAAGGCCAAACCCAGAAACCCGAUCGUAGUCCGGAUCGCAGUCUGCAACUCGACUGCGUGAAGUCGGAAUCGCUAGUAAUCGCGGAUCAGCAUGUCGCGGUGAAUACGUUCCCGGGUCUUGUACACACCGCCCGUCACACCAUGGGAGUGGGUUUUACCAGAAGUAGUUAGCCUAACCGUAAGGAGGGCGAUUACCACGGUAGGAUUCAUGACUGGGGUGAAGUCGUAACAAGGUAA